GGUAGUGUGGCUGAGUGGUCUAAGGCGCUGGAUUAAAGCGCCAGUCUCUUUGGAGGUGUGGGUUUGAAUCCCACCACUGUCA